UAAAGCAAUAAAAUGUACUACUUAACUGUGACUUUUAUAUGAGUUAGCUAAUUGAGCAACUAGUAUAAUGUAACAUUAUGCAUAGUUUGGUUUUCAGUACAAUUGCUUUGCUGUGUUUGCUGCACAACAAGUAUAAAUCGGUGCAGCCAAUAAGAAUAAUAUGGUACAACAAAAAUAGUCCAAGAUUGAAUGAGUCGUGGAUGACAACCACGAGCAGACGCCGGCAUCAGCACGACCAUAUUCUAGUGGAACUCACCGCCCGGAUGCCUUGUCGUAUAUGCCCUAACGUCUACUUCCCCAUUUGCACUACACUAAACCGCACUUUUAUGAACGUAUGCCUUUUUAGAUGCUUAAAUGCAACGAACGAAAAAGUCGCUAGGAGAGGAUACUGUAUGUAUUUUUAAGGUCUCAUCAUUUUUGGUUAAAUAUUUGACUGAGUAAUUGUUUGCCUAAGUAAUUGACAAUCAAAACUUACUUCGUAGAAAAUGAAGCUAAUAAAGCUGAAUACAUAAAGCUAUUGCAUUUAAGUUACAUAACUAAAAAAAUUGUCGAACUAUUUUCGGUAAGGAUUCCUUAUUCUAGAAGGAUCUAAUGGAUUCCUUAUCUUAAAAUAAACAUAAAGUCCGGGCGCAAAUCUCUGUCACAAAAAGAAAUGCACCACCAACAGCAGCAACAUUUUAUUUUGCGUGCCAUAAAUAUGGAACUAGUGAAGACGAACACACGCCGGAAUACACGACAUUUUCAUGCAAACUUAUCAGAAACUAUGCUUAAGUAAAUAGCGAUGGAAUACCGUUCACGUUGUGUUUACUUCCUAUUCAGGAAUAAUGUAAAUUGUGACUGGAGUAAUAAAAUAGUAUAUUUUUA